CAGGGCUCGAACCCACAAACAGUGAGAUCAUGACCUGAGUUGAAGCCAGUCACUUAACUGGCUGAGCCACCCAGGCUCAGUCUCUUAAAUGACUAGAACGGGUAUGCCAACUCUGUGUGGUCGGGUUAUACGUUUGUUUUUUUUUUUUUUAAUUUUCCAUUUCUUCUCUUUUAAACAACAUUUGUCCGAAUAAUAAGACAGUAGCACCAAAAGGUGGCGAUGGAAGACAGUGCAGGCCAAACCGCUAGUUUGGUCCAUGAAUAAUGAACUGUCUGGGUGGAUACGGAGGCUGUAUGCCAUCGCGUUGCGGGUAGCAAGAGUGGGACAGAAGGGAAAAGGGCCUGCCCGAGAGGAAAGGCAGGUGACCAGGAUCCCUACAAAAAAGGCAAAGUGGUACGAGAAGGUACCAUGUUAUGUAAUCCCAGGUAAGUAAAAGCACGAAUGGAUCAGGUAUGUUCUGCCAAUGGGAAAGGAUACGGAAUACUCUCCUGAGCAAAAUUAACCUCAUUCUCGCAUUCUCUCAGACAAAGUGAAUAUUCUCAAGAUGGAUUUUAUUACAGUUGAUUCUCUGAAGAAUCCUUGAGCCUCCCAUAUCAUUUUUUUAGGAUAGAAAUGCCUAUUGAUGUGCCAAGCCUGCCUCCUCCCAUACCGGGAUGCUCCAGCAACCUGGAUGCACAUGGAAAUAUUUGGCAUUCCAAACUGGGAAUCCCACAGCAUAUCAUGAGUCAUCGUAAUGUUGUAACUUACAAAACUAAAGCUUGCAAAUGUUAUUUUGGUGGAAUCUGGAAUUGCUGUGCUUUUUAUCUAUGUCUUCAGAGUAAUCGUGUUACAGGAUUUUAAAGUGAGAAAUGAUAUAGAUAAUGCCUAUCCAUAAAUGCGACUGUUAUGUUGGGAAAAUGUGUCCUCCAUUGUUGCUGUAGCAAAACGUUUAUCAUUAAAAUGCCAAACAUCUCAGUAAAAUUUCAAACUUUCAGUUGAGUA